AAAAGUAAAAUUGGCACUCCACGAACAAAAUGUCUCGACCAAUGCCACAAUCCUCCGUUCGGAAUCAAAUUCAAGAAGACUGGGCGAACAGAGAGUACAUAGAAAUUAUCACAACGAAUAUUAAAAAGAUAGCGGAUUUUCUCAACUCUUUUGAUACAUCAUGCAGAUCAAGACUUGCCAUAUUGAAUGAAAAAUUAACAGGACUUGAGAGAAGGAUAGAGUACCUUGAAGCUAGAGUAACAAGAGGGGACACACUGGUCUGAGACUGAUGGGAAGAUUGGGGUUGUAUAAAUCAUGUAGAUAGCAGAAGAAAUAACAGAGAGCAAGUCUACGGGCAGCGCAGUAUGAAGGAAGGUAAUUCCUGAGUCCAUACUACAUGUUCACUGGAUGUCUUGGGAGUAUAAAUCGACUUUGAUAUGUCCAACAGAAUGGUUGGUACAGACAAAUCAUACCAGUGAUUGUUGGUAUUCAUUUUAAUUUUCUUACAAACAGCAUGUAGCACAAUUACCAUUCUUAAAAAAAAACAACCUUAAGUUCACUUUUCAACCACCAGAAGUUAUAUAUUAUUUAAGAUUUUAGAAAUAGGAUGCAAAUUUGGUUAAAGUAAACAUUUGGUUGUGUUUAUGUAGCCACUUAUUACGUCUUUUAAAUGUCAGUUAGGAGAUACUAUCUGCAGAUGGGGAGAUAAAUUUCAUUUGUACAAAACUAAAACUUUCAAGACAAAUGCUGGAUUAUACUUGUUCAUGAAAGUUGUGGAAUCAUUAAUUUAUGCAUCAAUUGAACAUGCUAUAAUAUACAGGUGAAAUUGUUCUUUUCAAGGGAGCAAAUAAAAGGUAUUCACUUUGGCAGUGAUUUAUUCUAAAAUGCUCAGUGGGACUUUUGCAA